UGAACGCUGGCGGCGUGCCUAAUACAUGCAAGUCGAACGCUGGAGAUCUAGCUUGCUCGCUCGACGGAGUGGCGAACGGGUGAGUAAUACAUAAGCAACCUACCCACGAAGACUGGGAUAAUCUCUGGAAACGGGGACUAAUACCGGAUAGGUAAUCGGAAGGCAUCUUCUGGUUAUUAAAGGUUAAAAACACUGGUGGAUGGGCUUAUGGCGCAUUAGUUAGUUGGUGAGGUAACGGCCCACCAAGACGAUGAUGCGUAGCCGGCCUGAGAGGGUGAACGGCCACAUUGGGACUGAGACACGGCCCAGACUCCUACGGGAGGCAGCAGUAGGGAAUUUUCGGCAAUGGGGGCAACCCUGACCGAGCAACGCCGCGUGAGUGAAGACGGCCUUCGGGUUGUAAAGCUCUGUUGUAAGGGAAGAACGGUAGAUAGAGAAUAUCUAAGUGACGGUACCUUACCAGAAAGCCACGGCUAACUACGUG
rnacentral:rRNA from 1 species